rnacentral:rRNA from 1 species
AGAGUUUGAUCAUGGCUCAGAUUGAACGCUGGCGGCAUGCGUAACACAUGCAAGUCGAACGGUGUUUGGUGCUUGCACCAGACAUAGUGGCGGACGGGUGAGUAAUGCGUAGGAAUCUGCUUAGAGAGGGGGACAACCCGAGGAAACUUGGGCUAAAACCGCAUAUUCUCGAGAGAGGGAAGCAGGGGACCGGAAACGGCCUUGUGCUCUAAGGUGAGCCUACGUCGGAUUAGCUAGUUGGUAGGGUAAAAGCCUACCAAGGCGAUGAUCUGUAGCUGGUCUGAGAGGACGGACAGCCACACUGGGACUGAGACACGGCCCAGACUCCUACGGGAGGCAGCAGUGGGGAAUAUUGGACAAUGGGGGGAACCCUGAUCCAGCGAUGCCGCGUGUGUGAAGAAGGCCUGCGGGUUGUAAAGCACUUUCAGUGGGAAAGAGAAGCGUCUUGUGAAUAAUGGGACGUGGAGACGUUACUCACAGAAGAAGCACCGGCUAACUCUGUG